rnacentral:rRNA from 1 species
UACAUGUGGGGCAAGCGUUGUUCGGAAUUACUGGGCAUAAGGGUGCGUAGGCGGCUUGCCAAGUCACUGGUGAAAGUUUUCGGCCCAACCGGAAAAUUGCCUGUGAUACUGGCGAACUUGAGUGCGUGAGGGGUGGGGGGAACGAGCAGUGUAGCGGUGAAAUGCGUAGAUAUUGCUCGGAAGGCCGGAGCCGAAGGGGCCCCACUGGUACGCAACUGACGCUGAGGCACGAAAGCGUGGGGAGCAAACAGG